GGAGGCAGGAGUGGGGAAUUUUUCGGGAGGGGGGGGAGGCUGAUUUUGCCAUGCCGGGUGAAGGAUGAAGGACCUAGGGGUGGUGAGCCCUUUUGGCCGGGGAGAAAAAAACGGUAUCCGGAGAGGAAGCACCGGCUAACUCUGUGCCCGCGCCCGCGAUAAUA
rnacentral:rRNA from 2 species